GAAAAGAAACCAACAGGGAUUGCCUUAGUAGCGGCGAGUGAAGCGGCAAGAGCUCAGAUUUGAAAUCUCACCUAGUGUGCGAGUUGUAAAUUGCAGGUUGGAGUCUCGGGUUAGACGUGUGUGCAAGUCCCUUGGAACAGGGUGCCACUGAGGGUGAGAGCCCCGUAUCGUGCAUGUCGACACCUGUGAGGCCCUUCUGACGAGUCGAGUUGUUUGGGAAUGCAGCUCUAAGUGGGUGGUAAAUUCCAUCUAAGGCUAAAUAUUGGCGAGAGACCGAUAGCGAACAAGUACUGUGAAGGAAAGAUGAAAAGCACUUUGAAAAGAGAGUGAAACAGCACGUGAAAUUGUUGAAAGGGAAGGGUAUUGGGCUCGACAUGGGAUUUACGCAUCGUUGCCUCUCGUGGGCGGCGCUCUGGGUUUUUCCUGGGCCAGCAUCGGUUUUCGUUGCAGGAUAAGGACAAUUGGAAUGUGGCUCCUCGGAGUGUUAUAGCCUUUUGUAGAUGCUGCGUAUGGGGACCGAGGGCUGCGGCGGACUCGUUUCGUCUCGGAUGCUGGCACAACGGCGC
rnacentral:rRNA from 1 species